UGGGGAAUAUUGCACAAUGGGCGGAAGCCUGAUGCAGCGACGCCGCGUGAGGGAUGACGGCCUUCGGGUUGUAAACCUCUUUCAGCAGGGACGAAGCGUAAGUGACGGUACCUGCAGAAGAAGCGCCGGCCAACUACGUGCCAGCAGCCGCGGUAAGACGUAGGGCGCGAGCGUUGUCCGGAUUUAUUGGGCGUAAAGAGCUCGUAGGCGGCUUGUCGCGUCGACUGUGAAAACCCGCAGCUCAACUGCGGGCCUGCAGUCGAUACGGGCAGGCUAGAGUUCGGUAGGGGAGACUGGAAUUCCUGGUGUAGCGGUGAAAUGCGCAGAUAUCAGGAGGAACACCGGUGGCGAAGGCGGGUCUCUGGGCCGAUACUGACGCUGAGGAGCGAAAGCGUGGGGAGCGAACA
rnacentral:rRNA from 1 species